AAAAAUAACAUAUUUUCUUUUGCGGUCUUAAGUUAUUCUAUACAGCAGUGUAGUUUCUAUGACAUACCAUGUGCUUAUUUCGUUGAAAAUGACAAAUAUUCUUACCAUAAGAUUUCUUAUCUAUGUACUUCUUUUGAGGACCUUUAUACAAGCAGAUGAAAGUAAUGAAGAUUCAAGCAACUCUUCUGAAGAAGAAAAGAAGAAAAAUGGUACAAAUACUUUUUCUCCAUUUAUCUUAAAACCACCUAUGCUAGUACAAAAAAAUGGGCUUUACCUAAAUUGGUCUAAAAAUAAAGAGGUGACCCAUUGUACUAAAAUUUUCAUUACUUAUUUUUACGAUAAUUUAGCCUGCCCAAAAGGAACUCGGGCAUUAUCAAGGACAGAGACAAUAGAUUGCCAGUUUUCCUCUGCCUAUAUCAAAGUGGAAGACAAUUGGAAAUUCCUAAAUAUUUCACUUAAAAUUAACGGCAAUAACGAGUUUCAACCUUUAUUUUUUCCGAAUUUCACUGAAAAUACAACUACUUUAAGAGCUGUUUGGAAGCCAGUAAUCAACUUAACUGGAAUAUAUGAAAGAGGCAAAAUACGUUUACGAUGGAAACUUCCUGAAAAUCUAGAUUGCUUACCCGACGAAUAUCGGAUUUAUCAUGAUAAAGGGUAUAGCAUGGCGAAAAAUAUAAUGACUAAUAGUAAGGACGAACAAACUAUGAUACUAAAUGUUAAUGGACCGAAACGCAAUGUUUCAAUAAAAGUAAUAACUUGCAAUUACUAUAUUAAAAACAAAAUGCAAGAUAUAGAAGAAGUAAAAGAGAACCCAAAAUAUUACGCAGUUGUUAAAGUGCCGAUUAAUCUAGAGAAGCCGGAUCCUCCGUUUAAUAUAACGUAUAAGUGGAGCAACGAACUGGAUUUUACGUAUUUGAACAUAUGGUGGGAAUAUGAAUACAGAACAAAAAAAAUAAAAGAAUUUAAAAUUCGUCUUGAAUUGAAUGAAAACGAAAUUAGUUCAAAGACUGUAUCGCCAAGUGGUGCUAUUCAAUAUUAUGAAUCGUUUAAGAUUGAAACAAAAAUUAUAAAAUUACACCUGUAUAUAUCAGCAUUAUCAAAAGAUGGCGAAACCUCCAUUGAAAGCACCACAGACUCCUCUAUAUCGCCUGCAAAUCCAAAACCUUACCCUUCUAAUAAAAUUAAGAUUACUGGUGAAAAUCUAUUAGUGCCAGAGCCUGUCAUUGAAUACUUCGAAUCGAGAUUCGUUAUUUUUAAAAGUGAAUGGUACAACUCUGAAAAGUUUCAAAUAGGACUGGAUAAAGAAAUUGAUCUGGUUAAACAUGGAAUUAUAACUAAUGGAAUGCUUCCAAGACAUAAUCAAUAUCUUAAUGAACUAAAACUCUCCAAUUCUUCGAAGGAGCAAAGUUUAAUAUUUAACCGAAAGCAAACCAUGAACGAUGGAAAAAAAUAUGUUCUUGUGGUGUUUAUAACCAACUCACUGAAUAUGUUAAGAGUCAUAAACGUAUAUAAGAAAGAGGUAUAUAAUAUUUGUCCACCCAAAAUAACUGAUACUAUUGAGGACCCUCAAGACUGCUCGCAAUAUUUACUAUGUUCCGAUGGUAAUGCUGUAGAGAAGAAGUGCCCCGAGGAAAAAAUAUUUAAUAAUGAAAGUAAGCAAUGUGAUCUUAAACUGGAUAGAUAUAAUAAAUGUCAAAAACCCAAGAAAGAAACUAACGAUACAUGGAUAUCAAUAACGUCUAUCAUCAUUUUAGUAGGAGCAAUCUCCACAGGAGUUAUAGUAUUUUAUAUGUUCAGAUCAGGAAAAAACUAUAUUGGUAGAAGGCGUAAGAUUUCGGAAAAUAUAUAUCUAAUAUAUACUCCAAAUGUAUCACAGAGUUGCAACAUAGAUGAUUACACUUUAGAUGAAUAUGAGCGCUUUGACGACAGAGUUGUAAGUCAUUCGAAACGCAUUAAAAUAAACUGUUUAAAAGAAUAUGUCAAGGAAGCAAUUGAAGGUCCAGAACUAUUAAGACAACAUCAAUUAUUUCCAAAAAUUGACCCAAAGUGUUCAGCUAUAAUAGGAAAUUUGCCCUCAAAUAUACCUAAAAACAGAUAUAAUAAUAUUACUGCUUAUGAUGACACUCGCGUCAAGUUAAUUAAAUUAAAUGAAGAUGACGGAUCGGAUUAUAUCAAUGCGAAUUUUAUUUCCGGUUAUAAUUUGCCUGAAGCAUAUAUUGCUGCCCAAGGUCCCAAAUCUAACACAGUAAUUGAUUUUUGGAGGAUGAUAUGGGAAAGAAAUGUUAAUUGCAUCAUUAUGUUGACUAACCUAUAUGAUGGCAAAAAAAAAUGUUGUGAAAAAUAUUUUCCGGACAAAGGAGAGUUCAUAGAUUUCGGUGGGAUCAGUGUAGAGUUUUGUAAGGAAACUUCCACUAUGACUUAUAUUGUUAGAGAGUUUAAUAUUUUUGACGAGUCCUUCUGUAAAAAAAUCACGCAUAUCCAUUUCACAGCAUGGCCUUCCCAAGGACAGCCGUUAUUUGCUGAAACCAUGGUACCGCUACUACAGUACAUGCUUACUAUUCCCUACAGUUCAAAGCAUCCUAUUUUAGUUCACUGCAGCGCAGGAGUUGGUCGAACUGGAACCGUAAUUCUCUGCGAUAUGUGUUUAAGAAUGUGUGCUGCAGAAGGCGCCGUGGAUGUGUUGGCUUUCUUCGCAAAAAUGAGAACCGAACGCCCUAAUAUGGUGGAUAAUGUCGAGCAAUACAAGUUGGCUCAUUUAGCUAUUUUAGCUUGUUUAACUGCUCGAGAUACCGGGAUAGAAUGUGGCAUAGAUUUAUUCGAAAACAAGGUUCUGAAUAUUCUAUUUGAUGACCAAAUGCAAUAUAUUAAAGAUAACGAAUGGCAAGAUGAUGCGAUGAAAUCAGUCGCAUCUGUUGUACAGCACAUCCCUAUCGUUCCCGAGAAAAAUCGAUAUAAGGAUAUAUUGCCUGAUGAAGUAUUUCAAGUUUUCCUCAGCCGUCUUCCAAAUGGUGGGCCUUCAUCUUGCUACAUCAACGCAAUAUAUGUUAAUAGUUUCAUGUGUCCAAAGCGCUACGUUGUCACACAGCAUCCGCUCACCAAUACAAUAAAUGAUUUUUGGAGACUGGUUAUUGAGCAACAAAUCAAAAAUAUUAUAAACAUUGAUCCUGUACUUCAAAAUGAACAGCGACGGGGCAACAACGAGUGGUUUGUUUUUGGCCAUUUCAAAUAUGUUUGAACAAAUGAAACUCGAGAAAGUCUGUGAUAUUUGCCAAAUAAUCCGAAACCUACGAAUAUGUAGAAAACAAUUCAUUGAAAAUAAGGACCAUCUAAGAAUAAUAUGCAGUGCCGCUUUAUUUUAUCAUAAUAGUUACGGCCAAUAUUACGUCAUACCGUAAUAAAACGAAAAAAAAACAAUUUCUUAAGGCAAAAAAAUAAUUUAUUGAAAUCUCCUUUGCUGAAAUAUAAAAA
rnacentral:misc_RNA from 1 species